UUUUACUUAAUAGAAAUCUCUCUUGGACAAGCGGAUUCUCCAUUUCUUUAAUAUUCCUUUUGUUCAAAAUCAUCAAU
rnacentral:sRNA from 1 species